rnacentral:ncRNA from 1 species
UAGAAAGUGGUCUCUUUGAAGCCGGUUAUCGGAAUGAAGACAAUUUAAACCUCUUAACGAGGAUAUAUUAGAAGGUAAGUCUGGUGCCAUCAGCCGCGAUAAUUCUAGCUCUCA